ACCUGGGCUACACACGUGCUACGAAUGGUUGGUACAACGAGUUGCGAGUCGGUGACGGCGAGCUAAUACUCUUAAAGACCAAUCUCAGUUCGGAUUGUAGGCUGCAACUCGCCUACAUGAAGUCGGAAUCGCUAGUAAUCGCGGAUCAGCACGCCGCGGUGAAUACGUUCCCGGGCCUU
rnacentral:rRNA from 1 species